rnacentral:rRNA from 1 species
AUUGAACGCUGGCGGCAGGCCUAACAAAUGCAAGUCGAACGAGUGGCGGACGGGUGAGUAAUGUCUGGGAAACUGCCUGAUGGAGGGGGAUAACUACUGGAAACGGUAGCUAAUACCGCAUACCAUCAGAUGUGCCCAGAUGGGAUUAGCUAGUUGGUGGGGUAACGGCUCACCAAGGCGACGAACCCUAGGCGGUCUGAGAGGAUGAACAGCCACACUGGAACUGAGACACGGUCCAGACUCGUACGGGAGGCAGCAGUGGGGAAUAUUGCACAAUGGGCGCAAGCCUGAUGCAGCCAUGCCGCGUGUAUGAAGAAGGCCUGCGGGUUGGAAAGUACUUUCAGCGGGGAGGCGUUACCCGCAGAAGAAGCACCGGCUAACUCCGUGCCAGCAGCCGCGGUAAUUC